AGGAGCUUUAGGUAUUGCCCUACAUGACUGAUGGCCAUAGAAUUAUGGAGCUGAGGCCUGGUGACAGGAGCCUAGUGUAUGGGAGGGUGGCAACCUUCCUUCCAUCCCUUGAAGAGUUAUCUGCUGGGUCUCCGGGAUUUUAACCUAGCUCAGCCAGACAAGAGGCUGCCUUUCAUGGUCACACAGCUAGAGGUCUAGAGAGCAAGAGUUCAAAGCCUGGUCUGG
rnacentral:lncRNA from 1 species